AUGGAGGGUGCAGAAGAGAAGAAAAAGAAGGUUCCUGCUGUGCCAGAAACCCUUAAGAAGAAGUGAAGGAAUUUCACAGAGUUGAAGAUCAAGCAUCUGAGGAAGAAGUUUGCUCAGAAGAUGCUUCGAAAGGCAAGAAGGAAGCUUAUCUAUGAAAAAGUUAAGCAUUACCACAAGGAAUAUAGGCAGAUGUACAGAACUGAGAUUCGAAUGGCAAGGAUGGCAAGAAAAGCUGGCAACUUCUACAUACCUGCGGAACCCAAACUGGCAUUUGUCAUCAGGAUCAGAGGUAUCAAUGGUGUGAGCCCAAAGGUUUGAAAGGUGUUGCAGCUUCUUCGCCUUCGCCAGAUCUUCAAUUGCACCUUUGUUAAGCUCAACAAGGCUUCAGUUAACAUGCUAAGGAUUGUAGAACCUUAUAUAGCAUGGGGGUACCCAAACCUGAAGUCAGUAAAUGAAUUGAUCUACAAGCGUGGUUAUGGCAAAAUCAACAAGAAGCGAAUUGCCCUGACAGAUAACACGUUGAUUGCCCAAUCUCUUGGUAAAUAUGGCAUCAUCUGCAUGGAGGAUCUGACUCAUGAGAUCUAUACUGUUGGAAAACGUUUCAAAGAAGCAAACAACUUUUUAUGGCCCUUCAAAUUAUCUUCUCCACGAGGGGGAAUGAAGAAAAAGACCACCCAUUUUGUAGGAGGUGGAGAUGCUGGUAACAGGGAAGACCAGAUCAAUAGGCUUAUUAGAAGGAUGAACUAAGGUAUCUGCCAUGAUUAUUUUUGUAAUCUGGUCAGUUAAUAAAUGACUACUCUCAAAUGGAAAUGUUUUGUUGUCUUGGUGACUUUUUGCUAGCCUGACUCUGCUGUCCCUUAACUAUUAAAGCAAAUCUUGGUGUGUGAUAAAAGUCAUCAACCUUUGCGUGCAAAACUAGGGUCUAGUUUGUAUCUUGGUGGAAAACAUUCCUUGGGUUUAUUGAAGACUCUUCUGUACAAAGAAUAUAUCUUAAUUUUUCACUUUUGAAUUGGGCCACUGAGUUAGUCAAGAUAGGUCUGUUCUAAGAAAACCUAUUUCAUAGGCCUUUGUGCAUGAUUUA